CAGCCGCCGCGGUAAUACGGAGGGUGCAAGCGUUAUCCGGAUUCACUGGGUUUAAAGGGUGCGUAGGCGGGUAGGUAAGUCAGUGGUGAAAUCCUGGAGCUCAACUCCAGAACUGCCAUUGAUACUAUCUGUCUUGAAUAUUGUGGAGGUAAGCGGAAUAUGUCAUGUAGCGGUGAAAUGCUUAGAUAUGACAUAGAACACCCAUUGCGAAGGCAGCUUACUACGCAUAUAUUGACGCUGAGGCACGAAAGCGUGGGGAUCAAACAGGAUUAGAUACCCUGGUAGUCCACGCCCUAAACGAUGGAUACUCGACAUACGCGAUACACUGUGUGUGUCUGAGCGAAAGCAUUAAGUAUCCCACCUGGGAAGUACGUUCGCAAGAAUGAAACUCAAAGGAAUUGGCGGGGGAGCACAC
rnacentral:rRNA from 1 species